rnacentral:rRNA from 1 species
GAUGAACGCUGGCGGCGUGCCUAAUACAUGCAAGUCGAGCGAACAGAUGAGGAGCUUGCUCCUCUGACGUUAGCGGCGGACGGGUGAGUAACACGUGGAUAACCUACCUAUAAGACUGGGAUAACUUCGGGAAACCGGAGCUAAUACCGGAUAAUAUAUUGAACCGCAUGGUUCAAUAGUGAAAGACGGUUUUGCUGUCACUUAUAGAUGGAUCCGAGCUGCAUUAGCUAGUUGUUAAGGUAACGGCUUACCAAGGCAACGAUGCGUAGCCGACCUGAGAGGGUGAUCGGCCACACUGGAACUGAGACACGGUCCAGACUCCUACGGGAGGCAGCAGUAGGGAAUCUUCCGCAAUGGGCGAAAGCCUGACGGAGCAACGCCGCGUGAGUGAUGAAGGUCUUCGGAUCGUAAAACUCUGUUAUUAGGGAAGAACAAAUGUGUAAGUAACUAUGCACGUCUUGACGGUACCUAAUCAGAAAGCCACGGCUAACUACGUG